rnacentral:rRNA from 2 species
UGGGGGAUAUUGCACAAUGGAGGAAACUCUGAUGCAGCGACGCCGCGUGAGGGAAGACGGUCUUCGGAUUGUAAACCUCUGUCGCCGGUGACGAUAAUGACGGUAACCGGUGAGGAAGCUCCGGCUAACUACGUGCCAGCAGCCGCGGUAAUACGUAGGGAGCGAGCGUUGUCCGGAUUUACUGGGUGUAAAGGGUGCGUAGGCGGCCCUGCAAGUCGGGUGUGAAAACCGUCGGCUCAACUGACGGAUUGCACUCGAAACUGCGGGGCUUGAGUGGAGCAGAGGCAGGCGGAAUUCCCGGUGUAGCGGUGAAAUGCGUAGAGAUCGGGAGGAACACCAGUGGCGAAGGCGGCCUGCUGGGCUUUAACUGACGCUGAGGCACGAAAGCAUGGGUAGCAAACAGG